rnacentral:rRNA from 1 species
UACGGGGGGGGUAAGCGUUGUUCGGAAUUACUGGGCGUAAAGGGUCUGUAGGUGGCUUGCUAAGUCAGACGUGAAAUCCCUCAGCUUAACUGGGGAACUGCGUCUGAGACUGGCGAGCUUGAGUGCAGGAGAGGAACGCGGAAUUCCAGGUGUAGCGGUGAAAUGCGUAGAUAUCUGGAGGAACACCGGUGGCGAAGGCGGCGUCCUGGACCAACACUGACACUGAGGAGCGAAAGCCAGGGGAGCAAACGGG